UACGAAGGGGGGCUAGCGUUGUUCGGAGUUACUGGGCGUAAAGGGCGCGUAGGCGGCGCACCAAGUCAGGCGUGAAAGCCCUGGGCUCAACCCGGGAAUUGCGCUUGAGACUGGUGUGCUUGAGUACGGGAGAGGAUAGUGGAAUUCCCAGUGUAGAGGUGAAAUUCGUAGAUAUUGGGAAGAACACCGGUGGCGAAGGCGGCUAUCUGGACCGUAACUGACGCUGAGGCGCGAAAGCGUGGGGAGCAAACAGGG
rnacentral:rRNA from 1 species